GGUUCAGUGUGGCGUAAUGGUUAGAGUGUUGGACUGGGACUUAGGAGAACAGGGUUCAAAUCCCUGCUCAGCCA